rnacentral:rRNA from 1 species
AUUGAACGCUGGCGGCAGGCCUAACACAUGCAAGUCGAGCGUGAAAGUUCCUUCGGGAGCGAGUAGAGCGGCGGACGGGUGAGUAACGCGUAGGAAUCUGCCCAGUAGUGGGGGACAACAUGGGGAAACUCAUGCUAAUACCGCAUACGCCCUAAGGGGGAAAGCAGGGGAUCUUCGGACCUUGCGCUAUUGGAUGAGCCUGCGUCGGAUUAGCUAGAUGGUGGGGUAAUGGCCUACCAUGGCGACGAUCCGUAGCUGGUCUGAGAGGAUGAUCAGCCACACUGGGACUGAGACACGGCCCAGACUCCUACGGGAGGCAGCAGUGGGGAAUAUUGGACAAUGGGGGAAACCCUGAUCCAGCCAUGCCGCGUGUGUGAAGAAGGCCUUCGGGUUGUAAAGCACUUUCAAUAGGGAGGAAAAGUUAAUGGUUAAUACCCAUUAGCCCUGACGUUACCUAUAGAAGAAGCACCGGCAAACUCCGUGCCAGCAGCCGCGGUAAUACGGAGGGUGCGAGCGUUAAUCGGAAUUACUGGGCGUAAAGCGCGCGUAGGCGGUUUGAUUAGCUGGAUGUGAAAGCCCCGGGCUUAACCUGGGAAUUGCAUCCAGAACUGUCAGGCUAGAGUACAGUAGAGGUGAGUGGAAUUUCCUGUGUAGCGGUGAAAUGCGUAGAUAUAGGAAGGAACAUCAGUGGCGAAGGCGGCUCACUGGACUGAUACUGA